rnacentral:tRNA from 1 species
GGUGGGUAUAGCUCAGUGGUAGAGCGCAUGCUUAGCAUGCAUGAGGUCCUGGGUUCAAUCCCCAGUGCCUCCA